rnacentral:rRNA from 1 species
CCUCGGGGGGCUGCAGUGGGGAAUAUUGGACAAUGGGCGAAAGCCUGAUCCAGCCAUGCCGCGUGUGUGAAGAAGGCCUUCGGGUUGUAAAGCACUUUCAGUGGGGAAGAAAGCCUUGGGGCUAAUACCCUCGAGGAAGGACAUCACCCACAGAAGAAGCACCGGCUAACUCCGUGCCAGCAGCCGCGGUAAUACGGAGGGUGCGAGCGUUAAUCGGAAUUACUGGGCGUAAAGCGCGCGUAGGCGGUCUGAUAAGCCGGUUGUGAAAGCCCCGGGCUCAACCUGGGAACGGCAUCCGGAACUGUCAGGCUAGAGUGCAGGAGAGGAAGGUAGAAUUCCCGGUGUAGCGGUGAAAUGCGUAGAGAUCGGGAGGAAUACCAGUGGCGAAGGCGGCCUUCUGGACUGACACUGACGCUGAGGUGCGAAAGCGUGGGUAGCAAACAGGAUUAGAUACCCGAGUAGC